rnacentral:rRNA from 1 species
CGCCCGCAAGGGGAGCGGCAGACGGGUGAGUAACGCGUGGGAACGUACCUUUUGCUACGGAAUAACUCAGGGAAACUUGUGCUAAUACCGUAUGUGCCCUUCGGGGGAAAGAUUUAUCGGCAAAGGAUCGGCCCGCGUUGGAUUAGCUAGUUGGUGAGGUAAAGGCUCACCAAGGCGACGAUCCAUAGCUGGUCUGAGAGGAUGAUCAGCCACACUGGGACUGAGACACGGCCCAG